GAUCUGGUGGUGAAAUGAAUCACACCCACUCUUAUUAUGAUUGAAAGAUUGUUUGUGGGAGUCCCCAGUUCGAGUCUGUGCCAGGUCA